rnacentral:rRNA from 1 species
CCUACGGGAGGCAGCAGUGGGGAAUAUUGCGCAAUGGGGGAAACCCUGAAGCAGCAAAGCCGCGUGAGUGAAGAAGUAUCUAGGUAUGGAAAGCUCUAUCAGUGGGGAAGAAGGAAGACGGUACCCGACCAAGAAGCCCCGGCUAACUACGUGCCAGCAGCCGCGGUAAUACGUAGGGGGCGAGAGUUAUCCGGAUUUACUGGGUGUAAAGGGAGCGUAGACGGUGGCGCAAGUCUGAAGUGAAAGCCCGUGGCUCAACCGAGGAACCGCUUUGGAAACUGCGAGGCUGGAGUGCUGGAGAGGUAAGCGGAAUUCCUGGUGUAGCGGUGAAAUGCGUAGAUAUCAGGAGGAACACCGGUGGCGAAGGCAGCUUACUGGACAGUGACUGACGUUGAGGCUCGAAAGCGUGGGGAGCGAACAGGAUUAGAUACCCUAGUAGUC